UUUCCGGUUGAUCCUGCCGGACCUGACUGCUAUCGGAUUGAUACUAAGCCAUGCGAGUCUUUGCAGUAAUGCAAGGCAUACGGCUCAGUAACACGUAGUCAACUUACCCUAUGGACGAGGAUAAUCUCGGGAAACUGAGCAUAAUACUCGAUAGAUCAUAAUACCUGGAAUGGUUUAUGGUUGAAAUGAUUCGUCGCCAUAGGAUGGGACUGCGGCCUAUCAGCUUGUUGGUGAGGUAAUGGCCCACCAAGGCGAUUACAGGUACGGGCUCUGAGAGGAGAAGCCCGGAGAUGGGUACUGAGACAAGGACCCAGGCCCUAUGGGGCGCAGCAGGCGAGAAAACUUUGCAAUGUGCGAAAGCACGACAAGGUUAAUCCGAGUGAUUUCUGCUAAAGAAAUCUUUUGCAAGUCAUAAAACCACUAGUGAAUAAGGGGUGGGCAAGUUCUGGUGUCAGCCGCCGCGGUAAAACCAGCACCUCAAGUGGUCAGGAGGAUUAUUGGGCCUAAAGCAUCCGUAGCCGGCUCUGUAAGUUUUCGGUUAAAUCCAUGUGCUCAACGCAUGGGCUGCCGAAAAUACUGCAUAGCUAGGGAGUGGGAGAGGUAGACGGUACUCGGUAGGAAGGGGUAAAAUCCUUUGAUCUAUCGAUGACCACCUGUGGCGAAGGCGGUCUACCAGAACACGUUCGACGGUGAGGGAUGAAAGCUGGGGGAGCAAACCGGAUUAGAUACCCGGGUAGUCCCAGCUGUAAACGAUGCAGACUCGAUGAUGCAUUGGCAUAUAGCCAGUGCAGUGUCGCAGGGAAGCCGUUAAGUCUGCCGCCUGGGAAGUACGUACGCAAGUAUGAAACUUAAAGGAAUUGGCGGGGGAGCACCACAAGGGGUGAAGCCUGCGGUUCAAUUGGAUUCAACGCCGGG
rnacentral:rRNA from 1 species